GAAAGCCUCUGUCCCCACUGUCUUCCGAGAGCUGUGGUUUGACCAGGCAGCCCCCUAUGCCUCUUCCAGACUCAGGCUUCUCUCUGCUUCUGCAGUUUCUCCAGAGAAAGGAAAAGCCAGCAGUAUGCUUCUCAUUGAUCUGAGAAAAACUUGUCCAAGUCAGAUACGGAUAGACGCACAUACUUCAUCUAAAAAAAAAAUGGCAAUUACAUUAAUAUUGAUAAAAAUAAUAAAUAGCUUUCCAAGGGGGAAAGCAUAGCCUGCAAAAAGACAUCUGUGAUAUAUGGCUCACAAACUCAAAAUUUAGAUUCAGUACCCAAGGGCUGUCGGCUGAUUUAUAAAAUGCCUUUACUACAUUGGAUUCAAGUGCCAGACUCUUCAUGUUCUCCCUCAUUGACAAAGGGCAGUGGAUUUCUGGAAAUCUAUUUUCAGUAGACUUCAGUAACUCAAUUUUACCUAUCCACACUGUGUGGUAUAGUAUCAUCAUGUAAAAAUCAGAAGCAUCAAAAAUCAGACAAACCUAGACUCACUCCUCAAUUCUUUUACCAGGUGAAUGAAAAAGUGAUUAUUUUAUAAAAGGAAUGCUAGUUAGCAUUCCUGGGAGAAGUGAGUCUCUAUGGCUUGCCCUUUUGAAACUGGUUUCCAAACAAAAUGCAUACUCAUGAAUAUUUAUUGAUCAUAAAAGUUUGGCAGAUUAGAGCAGAAGAAGGGUAGCAUGAGGAGUACCAACUCUUAAACCUGAGGACUCAUGUCUGCACUACACCUUAUACAACAGUGUCUGUGAAAUGGUUAAAGAGUAAAAACCCAAUCUGUUGCAGCCAGAAAGGAGUACUCCACCUAUUACACAGCAAGGCCAAUAGAUUGCUUGUUAUUUUAAGUGUUAUUUAAAUUAUCUCCCUAGGGAAGAUAAUUUUCAGCUGCCUCUCCAUCUUCUUAAAGAAGAGCAGAAUUUAACACAUCUCGUCUUUGUGAAAAACAAAGACACUGAAGCAAUGGUCAGAAAGAAAAGGAAUAAAGACAAAGUCAAGGAAAGAGCCAUACAAGGACAGUUAGCAUAAGAUAGUUGUUCUCAAUGUAGGCUAUCCAGAACAGCACUGUCAACCUCACCGCGGAACUUGAAAGAAGUGCAAAUCCUUGAGACUGACUCCAAGUCUACUGAAUCAGAAAUUCUGGGGGUGAAGUCCAUCAAUCUUUGGUUGAACAAAACACAACCAAUCUCACAUUUAUGGAAGUUUCAUAUAUGAAGUCAUAAAAGUCACUAGAAAGGCAAGAAGAACCAGGGAGCUGACAUGUUCCUAGAUCCAGGAGCCACCCAGUGGAUUGACGAUUCUUAUCAUAAUAAGACUUCCUUGAACCAUCCCCCACCCAACCCUUUUCCAGAAAGAGUUGAAGACAAAUCUACAGUGAAUAGGAGGCUGAGGCCACCACACCACAGCUUCCAGUGCAAGUGUCCUUGUGCCCUGGUGCCUGAUAUCCAGCUCCGGCAGCCUAGAAAAUCAGUUAGGCUUUUCAGUCACAGCACCCUCUGUGACAAACGUGUGGAGCACCGCACGACUUCUUCAACCAGCUGGUUUUUCUGGCAUUCGAAUAAAAGUAAAAAUAGAAAACAAAGAGGGAGAAGAAAAGUGACAAGCUGAAACCUGCGAAGAGAAAGAGGACAAGAACCUGUAUGUACCCAGUGGUGUGGAUAAAUCGUUAUGUAUCUGCCUACGCAUUGUCAGAAAUACAGCAGCCUAAGUAGCCAUUCAAGGAAUUUAGAGUAAAGUACCAUGGUCAGAAUUCAAGAUAUAGCCACUACAGGAUCUGAAAUGCCAUCUGUUCCAACCGCACGACAUCCCCAUUCAGCAGGCUCACAAGGCUGGCAUAGACAGGAAGAGGGACCCCUCUGUUGUCCUCUACUCUCUUCUUCAACUGAGCAAUGAGCAGAAGAUUUAAGUUUGGGAUUUUUUCACUAUUUUUCCCAAACGCAUGAACAGGUUCUUCUCAAACUGCAAGAGUCGAUUCAAAAUCCAGACAGCUUUCACCACCCAAGGAUUCAGGCACCUACAAUGACAAAUUGUAAAUAGCCACGUCCAAUAAGUUUAUGCGUAACCUUACCUGACUUUUCCAUGGAACUCCAUUAUAUAACUAGAAGCAUUUCUCCACAAGCGGAAAAAAAAUGGAACCAGAAGAGAAACAAAGCACAUUUGAGCAUACAAUAAAUAAUGAUAUGAAAUGAACAAGUUGAUCUGGUCUUGAGGGAGGAGGAGGCACAGGAACACAGUAAAGGAACCUAUCUGAGGAGCUGCAGACAUGAACCAACAAAGGUCAAACCCCACCUGGAAAAUGAAUUGUGUCCAAAUGAGACCCCUUUAAUGACAGGAUUUGAAACAAUCUCAUUAUGAAACAAUUGCAGUCAAUGGGAAUCCUGAGUCUUCAAGGAAGUAAAAAGAAAAAAAAAUCUCUGUUAUCCUCACAUAUUUAAAGAUUCUCAUAUAAAAGCUUCUCCGAAGAGAACAGCUUGUCCUGUUUAGCUUCAAAGAAGAGAAUGAGGAGGAAGGUCGAGGGAAAAUUACAGAAAAGCAGACUUUGACUUGACACGUGGAAGGACUUCUCACUAAUGCUAUUCCCAAAUACAAUGAGUUGUUUCCGUGAUUGGAGGACUUGAAGAUGUAUAAGUUAUCCACAGGGAUGUUGCAGAGGAAAUUUGACCAUCAUAUGGGUGAAUUAACUGAUAUCUAUGAUCUUUAUUUCUCCUGAGAGUCCAUAAAAGGUAGUGUAAAACCAGCCCAAAUAGUGGUUUACAAGUGCACUGGGUAUGUUAUGUAAGAUUUCUGCUUUCCUGAUGAGGCCCCAAAGCUGAGAGCAAUGAAUGAUACAACAAACACAGCAUCCCCACAGAAUUUUCUAAGAGGUAGACAAAAUUGGCUCUGCAACCUUUAGCCUAUGGUCCACCACUGCCCUAUGUAAGGAAAGGUAAGAAAUUCAAGAGAGAUUAAUCAGAGAGGGAAGGCAAAUGGAAUGAAAUUAGUAGAAAUAAGGAGUACUGUGGCAUUUCUCUUCCCUUUGUAUAAUGAAAGAGAGGAGAAUGUAUCUUCUCCCAAAUUCCAAGCUAAGUGAGAGAGGGCAGAAAACCACCUUCUGAGAAAGAAACUGACGAUCCGUCACAGGGAAGAGAUAUCGACCUCCUUACUUAACAUUUUUGAGCUUGAUUAGAGGAUGAUGCAUUAGAUGCCAUUAUAGGACAAAUGUUUUAUGCAGUGAGAUAAUUGUUUGGAAAUUUGACGUAUACCUCUUGGAAUCUGAGGAGCAUGAAGAUCAGUGUAUGACUCUUGCCUGAAAUCAAGGAGAAAGGAAAACCCUGUCAAUGGCACAAAUUUCCAAAGUUUGGGAUGACAAGGACAUCCAGAAGAGCCUGAAGCAAUACUGCAAGUGGGUGCUUUGGUACUGCUUUGAAGCAUCUUUCCAGACUCUGCAGUAGCCAAGGCCUGUGACUCCAGUCCCUGAGAAAGUACCAUCAGGAGCAAUACGAGUCCUGUCCAUCUCUGAAAACAUGCUGCUGAUGUUGGAUUAAUAGUUAGACAAACAACUAAGAAGAUCAGAAGUAACAUGCUACUUUG
rnacentral:lncRNA from 1 species